rnacentral:rRNA from 1 species
UACGUAGGGUGCGAGCGUUAAUCGGAAUUACUGGGCGUAAAGCGUGCGCAGGCGGUGCUGUAAGACCGAUGUGAAAUCCCCGGGCUUAACCUGGGAACUGCAUUGGUGACUGCAGCGCUGGAGUAUGGCAGAGGGGGGUGGAAUUCCGCGUGUAGCAGUGAAAUGCGUAGAGAUGCGGAGGAACACCGAUGGCGAAGGCAGCCCCCUGGGCUAGCACUGACGCUCAGGCACGAAAGCGUGGGGAGCAAACAGG